rnacentral:lncRNA from 1 species
UCUGUGCCCUGCCCCCAGAGGUGGAGCCUACAGAGGCAGGCAGGACUCCUUGAGCUGUGGUGGGCUGGGCCCAGUUGGAGCUUCCCGGCUGCUUUGUUUACCUAAGCAAGCCUGGGCAAUGGCGGGCGCCCCUCCGCCAGCCUCACUGCCGCCUUGCAGUUUGAUCUCAGACUGCUGUGCUAGCAAUCAGCGAGACUCCGUGGGCGUAGGACCCUCCGAGCCAGGUGCCGGAUAUAAUCUCGUGGUGCGCCGUUUUUUAAGCCCGUCCGAAAAGCGCAAUAUUCGGGUGGGAGUGACCCGAUUUUCCAGGAGGGGGAGGAGCCAAGAUGGCCGAAUAGGAACAGCUCCGGUCUACAGCUCCCAGCCUGAGCGACGCAGAAGACGGGUGAUUUCUGCAUUUCCAUCUGAGUGAACAUAGAUUCCUUCAGUAAAUAUUGGGAAAACAUUUGCUUCAGGCCCAUUACUGGGUACCGCUUUGAUACAGAGGACACACCAAGGAACAAGACAGAUAGGACCUCUGCCUCUGGUAAGUUUGCAUUCCAGAGGGAGGAGAAGACAAUAAGCAAGCAAGCCAUCAAGACCACGUCAGAUGAGACGAAUAAAGUCAGACAGCUUCCAAGGAGUGGAUGCUUAUGGAGAGAUCACAUGGAGCCUUGUAGCUGAUUUAUAAUCUCAUGGUCCUCAUUCAUACAUCAAACCCCUGAAGGCCUGGCAUUUUUAUCUCCCGACUCAACCUGCAUGCUACCAGAAGCUCGACAAAAUUACGCCUGUUUAGGAAAAGACUGGAGGAAUUCGUGGAGGAAUUCUUGGAGGGGGAACACUGAAGUCCGAGUGUAGGUCCCUGAGGGCAGUCACCUGAUCUGUCUCAGUCACUGCAGUGUCCCCAAACAGAGCACCGCCUCAGGCACACAGAGGGCAGUGGUGAGGACUAAAGGAGGCGAUGAGAAGAGAGUCCCCACAAGGAGUCUGGCACAGAGGAAGUUUCGACGUAUGCUGUCCAUUGCAACUUCGACUUAUGCUGCGUUUCUGUGUCGGAACAGUGGAAGACAUUCAACAAGCACUUUGUCUCAGAGGCUUAGUUACAAUUAAUUGAGCCUGAAAGACCAUAGACUUGAAAAAGCCCUCAAAGUGAUAAAGGUAAAAAGAAAAAUAAAAUGACAUCUAGCAGGCACUGAGGGCUCUACAACGUGUGGCUAGCCUGUAUUCAGCACCCUACAGUGUGCAGCCAGGCUGUGCUCAGCAUCCUACAGUGUGCAGCCAGGCUGUGCUCAGUACUCUACAGUGAGUAGCCAGCCUGUGCUCAGCACUCCGCAGUGAGUGGCCAGCCUGUGCUCAGCACUCUACAGUAUGUGGCCAAACUGUGCUCAGCACUCCACAGUGAGUGGCCAGCCUGUGGUCAGGACUCUACAGUGAGUGGCCAGUCUAUACUCUGCACUCUACAGUGAGUGGCCAGCCUGUACACAGCACUCCACAGUCGUCAUCUUUUCAUCAUAAAUCUAAUGGCCACUUAAUGAGGUAGACCUGUCCCAUGACUUGAACUGAUUUCAAAAACUCAAAACUCAUACUCUCUUGCAUUUGGCAACCAAAACACAACCCACUUCCUGGGACCUUCUGACAGCCAGGCCACGUUGAGCAAACACCGAGCCCUCUUCAGAGUUGGUCAGCAGCCAGGUCAGCAGCGACUGGCAAGGCGACUGCUUGCCAGGUCUCCUCCAGCAUGAGCUUGGGAUGGAGCUGAAUCCCUUUCAUGCACAAGCAGAAUUUGAAAAGGUGCGGGGCCACACUAGUACCUCUGCGUCUCCUGCCAGAGCCCACCAGCUUAUUUUGCUUCUUCAGAGUCUGUAAAGCAUCCUUCUGGAUGACGAAUGCCUUCCGAGGCUCCAGCCCACCAAGCCUUCCUCUAAGUUUCAGAUGCAGAGGCCACCUCGGAGAACUGUGAUUGUCUCCCUGCAUCUCCCCAGUGCCCCCGGAUGAGUGCCACCCUCCUCACCUGCUAUCACAAAGACAAGAAAGGCCAUUCAUAAUUUAAGUCAGCCCUUUCUUUCCUGCACGCCACCAACAUGAGUCAGAUGCUGGAGGAAAAAUUGAACUCUUUCUCCCAGGAUACACCAAAGAUCAAGCAGAAUCUCAUUAAGGCUCACUUCAAAGACUCGUCCUUUAUUUCCAUACAAACAAGUUUAAAUUAUCGUGUGUGAAUCUGCUGUUAGCAGGGACUCUGUUCCAUUAUGCAUGAUUCCUUACUGUUCAUAUCAUGAAUAAUGGGCAGUGCUCCGUUAGCGAUUUCCAGUAAUAUGCUAAACUUUGGGAGUGGUCAUGGUGUUAGGUUAAAGUUCUGGUGUUUGCCUAUUUUAUUUCUUACUCAAGCUAUAAUGGCCUGCUUCAUCAAAAUAGGUUUCACAGUCUUAUUGUAAUGAACACAGCAUAACACAUGUUGUGGCUAUGAUUUCCUUAUUAUUAUUAUUGAAUAUUUAUUGAGCACUUACUAUGUGUAAGGGAUGGUGCUCAGUGUAUGCAUUGCAUGCAUAAUAUUUAAUCUUCCGGAAUCCCAUGAAAUAGCUAUGAUGAUUAUUCCCAUUUUACUGGUGAAAAAAACUGAUAAUUUGAGCAGGAUCUAAAUUAUCCACAGAUAAAACUUUUUUGUGUGUUUUUGAGACAGGGUCUCACUUUGUGACCCAGGCUGGAGUGCAGUGGUGCAAUUAUGGCUCACUGCAGCCUUGACUUUCCAGGCUCAAGCGAUCCUCCCACCUCAGCCUCCUGAGUAGCUGGGACUACAGGCAUGCACCAUCACACUGGCUAAUGUUUUAAACAAUUUUUGUAGAGAUGGUGUCUUGCUAUUUUGCCCAAGCUGGUCUGGAACUCCUGGGCUCAAGCAAUCUGCCCACUUCAGCCUCCCAAGAUGAUGGGAGUACAGGCAUGAGCCACCGUGCCUGGCCUGAUAGAACUGUUAAUAAAUGGUAAUGCUGAUUCAAAUCAGUUGGUCUGACUUCAGAUACUCCUAAUUAUAAAAUACUUUUUACAACGCUAUUACUUGCUGAAGAGCUUUGGCAGAUAAUCGAUGAUUUGGUAAGCAGGUAUUUGGAUGUCCAGUGCACAUUUCUCAUGUCCAGAUGAGAAAUGAAUGCUCAGGGGAUUGCUUGAUACCUGGGAGUGAGAAAAUCCUUGUUCAAGUACUGGUUUUGACUUCACUUAAUCUUGGGCAAGUCAUCCAGUCUUCCUGGAUGUGCUGAGGUGGUUGCAUUAUUGCCUUUGUAAUUUUUUUUCUUCAUUUUUUUAUUAUACUUUAAGUUCUAGGGUACAUGUGCACAACGUGCAGGUUUGUUACAUAUGUAUAUAUGUGUCAUGUUGGUGUGCUGCACCCAUUAACUCAUCAUUUUCAUAAGGUAUAUCUCCUAAUGCUAUCCCUUCCCCCUCCCCCCACUCCAUGACAGGCCCCUCUGUGUGAUGUUCCCCAUCCUGUGUCUAAGUGUUCUCAUUGUGCAAUUCCCACCUAUGAGCGAGAGAGAACAUGCGGUGUUUGGUUUUCUGUCCUUGCGAUAGUUUGCUCAGAAUGAUGGUUUCCAGCUUCAUCCAUGUCCCUACAAAGGACAUGAACUCAUCCUUUUUUAUGGCUACGUAGUAUUCCAUGGUGUAUAUGUGCCAAAUUUUCUUAAUCCAGUCUAUCAUUGGUAGACAUUUGGAUUGGUUCCAAGUCUUUGCUAUUGUGAAUAGUGCCGCAAUAAACAUACAUGUGCAUAUGUCUUUAUAGCAGCAUGAUUUAUAAUCCUUUGGGUAUAUACCCAGUAAUGGGAUGGCUGGGUCAAAUGGUAUUUCUAGUUCUAGAUCCUUG